CACACACACACACACACACACACACACACACACACACACACACACACACACACACACACACACACACACACACACACACACACACAACACUGGGUUGAAUGGACUGAACAGAAAAUGCUUUGUUAUGAGACCAGACAACAAGAGGACAGAGACCAGCAGUCAGACUCUAGCCUUGAUGGUCAAAACCAGAUGUCCCACUAACACUGCACCCCCGAUGACUACCGGUCUCCCUAUUUACUGCACUACUCUUCACCAGGGCGUGUCCCAUGUAGUGGACUAAACAAGGGUAGGAGUGUGAAUUGGGAUGCAGCCUGUUCUACCCUUCCAGUGGUUCCCUGCAACUACAGCAGAGUCCACCAUGGUGACACAGCCAGCCAUAACUGCACAGCUAACAUUAAUUCACAUUAUUACAUUCUGCAAUUGUCUCAAAUCUCAAUGAACCACAAAACAAUGUUCAUUUAAACACAAGCUUUUCCAUAGCAAAUCUGAAAUGUUUCAAAGACGAGACCGGAGAAACCCCCCCUUGACAUCCUGUUUUAGUGAAAUACAGCACAGUGUCCGAGGGGUGGAAAUGUAUUAUUACUGUCACUUUUGGUCCCGCUUUUUAAUUGGACGCCAUGACCCAAACGGCCCCCUAACCCCCAUCGUAGGGCCCUCCUUUUGACCGGAGUCCCCAUAAUGCUCCUGUCAACAGUGGGGCCUUAUAUUGGAAAUCAUCCUGGGCACAUCGACAGAUUGGAUUCAAACUAAACGUGCCGGUUGGAUUGUCUUGAGUGACUGACAACAGACCCACCAUGCCAUCCCGAUACUUAAUUCAAACAGCGGAAUAUCAACAUGAGCCAUGAGGUACAUUCAAUGGAAUACCAAACCUUUAGCCUGGUUUGGAACGUUGUGGGAUCAUACCAGGCCAGUACCGAAGGCUAUUUAGGUUUCAACUUUGUCAUCAGGACAGCUGGUCUUCUCUACAUCUCCAAAACACAGGAAACAUGUCCGUCUCCUCUCCCCUGACCUGAUUGGGACUCUGACUCACCAAUGUAAUGACUGGCCCCGGUCCAUAAAUAGCAUCCUAUCCCCUACAUAGAGACUAAGCUCAUCCAAUAUAGUGCACUAAAGAGACAAGAAGUUCAUUCGGAACACAAGCAUGGGACUUUCUGGGUUCAACAUUGUGAAACAGGAAGGGGGGGGGGGGCAGAGGGGAGGGAGGCUGAAUGGGGGCCAUUUGCUUUCUGUCACCAUGAGGAUAACCCAUCACUGAAUAAUAGGGGGGGGGGGGGGGGGGGGGGGUUCAGUGAGACUUCAUAUCUGCCAUGUCAGUGUGAUCUGGUGUUACUCCGGAACAAUCCUAUCCAUAUAAAAACUAUUUGCUUUUAAUUUGUACCUCUCCAUGUCGUGGGCUUUUCCCCAAACGAUGAACCCUUCACAGUGGUAGAACAGAGUAUAGAUGCCUCACUGCUCUGCAGUCUCACGCUGAACCCUUCACAGUGGUAGAACAGGACCAAGAAGCCCUGACACACUAAUGACACUAAUUACAUGAAACAUAUGGACGACCCACCUUCACCAAAAUAACUCUCGUUCUCAAAUUAAGGAAGUGAGUGUUUUUUUAAAUGCUUAGGCCUUGGUGACUAAGGGAGACUAUCCAGGGUCAAGUGGCGUUCAGAUCAUUCGAUAGAGAACAACUUGACAGGACUAGUUAAGAAGAGAAGGAUCUUCCAAUCACAAGAUGUUCCAUUAAAAAUUUAAAUUAAAAUACAGAACUGACAUGGCAAUAUUUUACAACCUUCAGGAACAGAGAGCUUAACUUCGGACUGCAGUGAAGGGGUGCGUACCCUUGGUUCCAAC
ensembl:lncRNA